GACGAACGCUGGCGGCGUGCUUAACACAUGCAAGUCGAACGGAAAGGCCCUGCUUGCCGGGUGCUCGAGUGGCGAACGGGUGAGUAACACGUGGGUGAUCUGCCCCUUACUUUGGGAUAAGCCUGGGAAACUGGGUCUAAUACUGGAUAGGACCAUGCUGUAGGUGGUGUGGUGGACAGAUUAGUUUCGGUAAGGGAUGAGCUCGCGGCCUAUCAGCUUGUUGGUGGGGUAGUGGCCUACCAAGGCGUCGACGGGUAGCCGGCCUGAGAGGGUGGACGGCCACAUUGGGACUGAGAUACGGCCCAGACGCCUACGGGAGGCAGCAGUGGGGAAUAUUGCACAAUGGGCGCAAGCCUGAUGCAGCGACGCCGCGUGGGGGAUGACGGCCUUCGGGUUGUAAACUCCUUUCAGCCAUGACGAAGCCCUUGUGGUGACGGUAGUGGUAGAAGAAGCACCGGCUAACUACGUG
rnacentral:rRNA from 1 species